rnacentral:rRNA from 1 species
GACGAACGCUGGCGGCGUGCUUAACACAUGCAAGUCGAACGGAAAGGCCCUGCUUUUGUGGGGUGCUCGUGUGGCGAACGGGUGAGUGACACGUGAGUAACCUGCCCCUGACUUUGGGAUAACUUCAGGAAACUGGGGCUCAUACCGGAUAGGAGCUCCUGCUGCACGGUGGGGGUUGGAAAGUUUCGGCGGUUGGGGAUGGACUCGCGGCUUAUCCGCUUGUUGGUGGGGUAGUGGCUUACCAAGGUUUUGACGGGUAGCCGGCCUGAGAGGGUGACCGGCCACAUUGGGACUGAGGUACGGCGCAGUCGGCUACGGGAGGCAACAGUGGGGAGUAUUGCACAAUGGGCGGAAGCCAGAUGCAGCAGCGCCGCGUGCGGGAUGACGGCCUUCGGGUUGUAAACCGCUUUCGCCUGUGACGAAGCGUGAGUGACGGUAAUGGGUAAAGAAGCACCGGCUAACUACGUG